rnacentral:rRNA from 1 species
AACGAACGCUGGCGGCAUGCCUAACACAUGCAAGUCGAACGAGACCUUCGGGUCUAGUGGCGCACGGGUGCGUAACGCGUGGGAACCUGCCCUUAGGUUCGGAAUAACUCCCCGAAAGGGGUGCUAAUAACGGAUAAUGUCUUCGGACCAAGGAUUUAUCGCCUUUGGUUGGGCCCGCGUUGGAUUAGCUAGUUGGUAGGGUAAAAGCCUACCAAGGCGACGAUCCAUAGCUGGUCAGAGAGGAUGAUCAGCCACACUGGGACUGAGACACGGCCCAGACUCCUACGGGAUGCAGCAGUGGGGAAUAUUAGACAAUGGGCGAAAGCCUGAUCCAGCAAUGCCGCGUGAGUGAUGAAGGCCGUAGGGUUGUAAAGCUCUUUUACCCGGGAUGAUAAUGACAGUACCGGGAGAAUAAGCACCGGCUAACUCCGUG